rnacentral:rRNA from 1 species
UACAGGGGGGGCAAGCGUUGUUCGGAAUUACUGGGCGUAAAGGGCUCGUAGGUGGCCAACUAAGUCAGACGUGAAAUCCCUCAGCUUAACUGGGGAACUGCGUCUGAUACUGGAUGGCUUGAGUUUGGGAGAGGGGUGCGGAAUUCCAGGUGUAGCGGUGAAAUGCGUAGAUAUCUGGAGGAACACCGGUGGCGAAGGCGGCAUCCUGGACCAAUACUGACACUGAGGAGCGAAAGCCAGGGGAGCAAACGGG